rnacentral:rRNA from 1 species
UACGAAGGGGGCUAGCGUUGCUCGGAAUCACUGGGCGUAAAGCGCACGUAGGCGGACUCUUAAGUCGGUGGUGAAAUCCUGGAGCUCAACUCCAGAACUGCCUUUGAUACUGAGGAUCUUGAGUUCGGGAGAGGUGAGUGGAACUGCGAGUGUAGAGGUGAAAUUCGUAGAUAUUCGCAAGAACACCAGUGGCGAAGGCGGCUCACUGGCCCGAUACUGACACUGAGGCACGAAAGCGUGGGGAGCAAACAGG